rnacentral:rRNA from 1 species
AUAGCGUAUAUUAAAGUUGUUGCAGUUAAAAAGCUCGUAGUUGAAUUUCGAGAUCAAAUUGUUGGUCGUGCCUUGGUACGCACUGGCAUUAUUGGUUUCUCCCUUCUGACGAACCAUGAUGUCAUUAAUUUGGUGUCUUGGGGAAUCAGGACUGUUACUUUGAAAAAAUUAGAGUGUUUAAAGCAGGCUCACGCUUGAAUACAUUAGCAUGGAAUAAUGAAAUAGGACGUUUGAUUCUAUUUUGUUGGUUUCUAGGAUCGACGUAAUGAUUAAUAGGGAUAGUUGGGGGCAUUAGUAUUCAAUUGUCAGAGGUGAAAUUCUUGGAUUUAUUGAAGACUAACUACUG